rnacentral:rRNA from 1 species
UACGAAGGGUGCAAGCGUUACUCGGAAUUACUGGGCGUAAAGCGUGCGUAGGUGGUUCGUUAAGUCUGAUGUGAAAGCCCUGGGCUCAAUCUGGGAACGGCAUUGGAUACUGGCGAUCUGGAGUGCGGUAGAGGGUGGCGGAAUUCCCGGUGUAGCAGUGAAAUGCGUAGAUAUCGGGAGGAACAUCCGUGGCGAAGGCGGCCACCUGGACCAGCACUGACACUGAGGCACGAAAGCGUGGGGAGCAAACAGG